rnacentral:rRNA from 1 species
GAAACCGGGGCUAAUACCGGAUCCCUUGCCCCCUUCACAUGAAAGGGGCAAGAAAGGUUGCUUUGCUUCCGCUUCGGGAUGAGCCCGCGGCCCAUUAGCUAGUUGGUGAGGUAACGGCUCACCAAAGCAACGAUGGGUAGCCGGCCUGAGAGGGUGUCCGGUCACACUGGGACUGAGAUACGGCCCAGACUCCUACGGGAGGCAGCAGUGAGGAAUAUUGCGCAAUGGGCGAAAGCCUGACGCAGCGACGCCGCGUGGACGAUGAAGGCCUUCGGGUUGUAAAGUCCUGUCAGGAGGGACGAAGCGGUACUUGUACCGUGACGGUACCUCGGUAGGAAGCUCCGGCUAACUACGUGCCAGCAGCCGCGGUAAGACGUAGGGGGCUAGCGUUGUCCGGAAUUACUGGGCGUAAAGAGCUCGUAGGCGGUCUGUUUAGUCGGAUGUGAAAGCCCUCGGCUCAACCGAGGAAUUGCAUUCGAUACUGGCAGGCUAGAGUCUAGCAGAGGGAAGUGGAAUUCCCGGUGUAGCGGUGAAAUGCGCA